rnacentral:rRNA from 1 species
GGUUAAAAAGCUCGUAGUUGGAUUUCUGUCCGAGGCAGCCGGUCCGCACCUGGUGCGUGUAUCUGGUUUGGCUAGGGCAUCCUCUUGGGGAACGUCUCUGUGCUUGAUUGCAUGGGGCGGAAUUCAAGACUUUUACUUUGAGGAAAUUAGAGUGUUCACGGCAAGCUAUCGCUUUGAAUACAUUAGCAUGGAAUAAUAAUAUAGGGCGUAAGUUCUAUUUUGUUGGUUUCUAGGACAUACGCAAUGAUUAAUAGGGACAAUUGGGGGCAUUCGUAUUAACGCGUCAGAGGUGGAAUUCUUAGAUUGCGUUACGACGAACUACUGCGAAAGCAUUUGCCAAGGAUGUUUUCAUUGAUCAAGAACGAAAGUAUGGGGAUCGAAGACGAUUAGAUACCGUCGUAGUCUAUACCAUAAACUAUGCCAAUUAGAGAUUGGAGGUCGUUCGUUUUAUGACUCCUUCAGCACCUUAUGAGAAAUCAAAAUUUUUGGGUUCCGGGGGGAGUAUGGUCGCAAGGCUGAAACUUAAGGGAAUUGACGGAAGGGCACCACCAGGAGUGGAGCCUGCGGCUUAAUUUGACUCAACACGGGAAAACUUACCAGGUCCAGACAUAGUAAGGAUUGACAGAUUGAUAGCUCUUUCUGGGUUCUAUGGGUGGUGGUGCAU